GGUGGCCUCUGUGGAAGAAGGUCAGAGAUUGUCCUUUUUUAGACACAGUCACUUCCAGAUAGCUCUCCGCCCAUCACAAGCCAAAGAUGAUCUCAUCACUGAAUUUGAUGUUGCCUCCACAAAAAUCUUUUUAUGAAAGAAUGGAAACACUUGAAAGAGGAGGAGAGAACCCAGGGAAUGAGGGAACAGAGAUAAGUGGAGGGAAUGGGAAGGAAACAGCAAGAGAACACCGAGGUCAGCGAGGCAGGAGCUGUUCCACGGCAGAGCACAAUUCCCAAAGGCACAGAGCCCGUGGAAGGCCCAUGCCAAAGCAGAGGAAAAAAAGCAAAGAAGGAGCACCAAAAGGAGCACCAAAAGGAACCCUGACUUGCAAACACUGCCACCCCUCAACUGGAUCCCUUUCCUCAUUGAAAGUACAACCUGGGGCCAAAACAAGCUGGGAGCCAUGCUGAAAGUGAGAAGAGUGAGAAGGAGCUGUGUGCUUUCCUACCAGCCAGGACCCAUCUACCACAGACCUUUUUGAGCACAGCAACAAGACCAUUGCCAAGGUUGUAAGAACAUACCAGCAUAUUCUCAUAACUCUGAAGGGCCUGAACAUCUGCCCUGAGAUUUCUGUGGAAAUUGAGCUCAUGUAGUACCCCUCAAGAGCUCAGCAGUCUGUUACAUAAGGUCUUGACACAGCUGAAAAUCCUGAUUUCCAAAAUAUUCCAUGUGGCUUUGAGUGCCAUUGAAGUCCAGAAGAAUAUGAAACAUCAAGUACAACACAGCUGCACUCUAAAAAAUGUGCGCACUAGUGGAUGA